rnacentral:rRNA from 1 species
UGAGGGAUAUUGGUCAAUGGGCGCAAGCCUGAACCAGCGACGCCGCGUGGGUGAAGAAGGUCUUCGGAUCGUAAAGCCCUUUUCCCACUGAAGAGGAAGGACGGUAGGUGGGGAAGAAGUCCCGGCUAACUACGUGCCAGCAGCCGCGGUAAUACGUAGGGACCAAGCGUUGUUCGGAUUUACUGGGCGUAAAGGGCGCGUAGGCGGCAAUUCAAGUCAGCUGUGAAAUCUCUGGGCUUAACCCGGAACGGCCAGCUGAUACUGCUUUGCUAGAGUGCGGAAGGGGCAAUCGGAAUUCUUGGUGUAGCGGUAAAAUGCGUAGAUAUCAAGAGGAACACCUGAGGCGAAGGCGGGUUGCUGGGCCGACACUGACGCUGAUGCGCGAAAGCCAGGGGAGCAAACG